GCGGACGUGGUGCACGGUGCACUCCUUCAUUUCAUAUAAGGAUCGCAGAGAAGUAUUGAAGGCUAUCGGGGUUCGACUCCCCGCGUCCGCA